rnacentral:rRNA from 1 species
GAUGAACGCUGACAGAAUGCUUAACACAUGCAAGUCUACUUGAACUUCGGUUUGGGUGGCGGACGGGUGAGUAACGCGUAAAGAACUUGCCUCACAGCUAGGGACAACAUUUGGAAACGAAUGCUAAUACCUGAUAUUAUGAUUUUAGGGCAUCCUAGAAUUAUGAAAGCUAUAUGCGCUGUGAGAGAGCUUUGCGUCCCAUUAGCUAGUUGGAGAGGUAACGGCUCACCAAGGCGAUGAUGGGUAGCCGGCCUGAGAGGGUGAUCGGCCACAAGGGGACUGAGACACGGCCCUUACUCCUACGGGAGGCAGCAGUGGGGAAUAUUGGACAAUGGACCAAGAGUCUGAUCCAGCAAUUCUGUGUGCACGAUGAAGUUUUUCGGAAUGUAAAGUGCUUUCAGUUGGGAAGAAAAAAAUGACGGUACCAACAGAAGAAGUGACGGCUAAAUACGUGCCAGCAGCCGCGGUAAUACGUAUGUCACAAGCGUUAUCCGGAUUUAUUGGGCGUAAAGCGCGUCUAGGUGGUUAUGUAAGUCUGAUGUGAAAAUGCAGGGCUCAACUCUGUAUUGCGUUGGAAACUGUGUAACUAGAGUACUGGAGAGGUAAGCGGAACUACAAGUGUAGAGGUGAAAUUCGUAGAUAUUUGUAGGAAUGCCGAUGGGGAAGCCAGCUUACUGGACAGAUACUGACGCUGAAGCGCGAAAGCGUGGGUAGCAAACAGG